rnacentral:rRNA from 1 species
GACGGAGGGGGCAAGCGUUGUUCGGAAUUACUGGGCGUAAAGCGCGUGUAGGCGGCUGGCUAAGUCUGAUGUGAAAGCCCGGGGCUCACCCCCGGAAGUGCAUUGGAAACUGGCCAGCUCGAGUCCCGGAGAGGAGGGUGGAAGUCCUGGUGUAGCGGUGAAAUGCGUAGAUAUCAGGAGGAACACCGGUGGCGAAGGCGGCCCUCUGGACGGUGACUGACGCUGAGACGCGAAAGCGUGGGGAGCAAACAGG